UGUCCUGCAUUUUUUUUUUAGCUGUAAUCUCUGUCCUGCCUUUUUAUUUUUCACUCUGUUCGGUCCUGCCUUUUUUUUUUUAGUUUCCUGACUUUUUUUACCUAAAUUGGUCGUCCUGACUUUUUUUUUUUUUGCAAGUGUCUCAUCCUGCCUUUUUUUUACUCAAAACUCCUGUCCUGCCUAUUUUUUUUAAAUUUCAUCCUAGCCCCCCCCCCC
rnacentral:lncRNA from 1 species